AAGUCGUAACAAGGUUUCCGUAGAACCUGCGAGGAUCAUUAACACGUAUCCAACGUUAAACCCCCCUGUGAAUUUUAUCGCAGCUCUUGCAGAUGCCGGUAAGUUUAAAUCAUUGUUGAACAGAUUUUGAUUCAGGGACCUCUAACACCGACAGCUGCAAUUCGAGCGCUUGUGCAAGUGGCCUGGUUUCUGAAAGUGUCACUGGUUGUGUAAGGAAAACGCUUUACGAUCACUGGAGGCCGAGGUGACCGGGCUGCUGUGGCUAUAUGCCCCCUGUGUUACCCCACUACCUGAACUUGGGUCGCAGGAAACUGCUUCCCCUUAAAUCUGAACAACUGUUAACAUCCCGGUUCUC
rnacentral:misc_RNA from 1 species